rnacentral:sRNA from 1 species
AGCGCUAUUGAGUGUAGGGAUCUGGAAAAUGCUCCACGAUGCCCCUGACUCCGUGGAC